UAACCACUCUUUGUCAGUCUCAGAGAACAC
rnacentral:piRNA from 1 species